rnacentral:rRNA from 1 species
UACGUAGGGGGCAAGCGUUGUCCGGAUUUAUUGGGCGUAAAGAGCGUGUAGGCGGCCAGGUAGGUCAGCUGUGAAAACUCGAGGCUCAACCUCGAGACGUCGGUUGAAACCACCUGGCUAGAGUCCGGAAGAGGAGAGUGGAAUUCCUGGUGUAGCGGUGAAAUGCGCAGAUAUCAGGAAGAACACCCGUGGCGAAGGCGGCUCUCUGGGCCGAUACUGACGCUGAGGAGCGAAAGCGUGGGGAGCGAACAGG